UUUUCUUUCGUUAAAGGAUUCUUUGACCGAUCCUUUUAUUUCAAUUGAAGCUUUUGAAUCUGUAGCGGAUUAAUUUAAUGAUAAUUAAUUCAUGCAAAUUUCUUUAUUGUGAUAGUAGGUUGAGGUAAUUCGUUUGAUUGUCUUUUUAAUUUUUCAUUUAUUGUUCUUUAAUUUUGAUCGUAAGCGAAAUAUUGUAGACGGAGGUGGUAGGUGUGUCUUUAAUUGGACAUUCUGCUGGAGGAUGGCUUGCUCGUCUCUACAUGGAAGAAUUUGGAACCUCCAAUAUUUCCUUACUGUUGACUCUUGGAUCUCCUCUCUCGUACGUUCCCUAACUUCCUUUAUACUGAUUGAUCUCUUAGUAGUAUUAUGCAUAAAUUAUUUCAGGAUUGCCCACAGUUGUGUAACUCUUAGACAUAUUGAUACUUCUUAUCGAAAUGUUUACAAUGAUCCACUUCCUUAUAUGAAAUGUCUUUCAUUUUGUUUAAUAGCUAUAUUGGUUUAUGCUCUACAUUUUCUAUGGGUAAAUAUAAUUCUCUUGUUGCAUGUUUGGUUCAACAUAUUGGCUCUACUUCCUGAUAACAGUAUUUUUAAAUAAUAAUCCAAUUGCAUUUGUAAAUGUAAUUCAUUUACUUAAGAAAUGGAAAUUUUAUUUUCUUCUCUGCAAUUUCUUUCGAAUUGCAGUUUGACCUUUGUAACCAAUUUAAGAAUUUGGUUCACGAAGUCGUGUCUACUUUUCAAGGACUGGACAACAGUUACAAUUUUCUGUAGGUCCGCCUCCAAAAGAUUCACCAGGAGUAAUUGAUGAAACUAGAGGCCUCUUGGAUUAUGUUGAAAUACAUUACGCACCUGUUGUUUAUACUUUGGAGUUGAGAUAUGUAUGUGUUGCAGGGAGGUAAAGUAAAAUGCGGCUCUAACGAAAUUCAUUACUGCCUACGUUGUCAGCAGAUGGGUCUUUACUCUUUAGCAUUAAUGUUGCUUUUAUCUACAUCACUUCCACAUUUGUCAGUUUGAUUUGGCUUUGUUGCUUAGCUCAACUACUUUGAGUGAAUGAAUUGUAAUGGCUAGAGAUAAAUAUAUUGAAGUCUGGGCUUAACAACCUCCAUUGUUCUUGUGAAAUGCAAGGUCAAAUCACUUACAUUUUAUUCCAUUUUGUUUCAUCACCGUCAACCAUAUGUUUUGUCAUAGUAGAGGUAGAUUUUCUAGGAUUUUUGUUUCACUGUUUUUGUUUAAUAUUGUUGAGUAGUAAAUGAUUAAAGAUGAUCGGAUUUUGAAAAUCUUUAUUCUCCGUUCAAGUUGUAGAUAUUUUGUUUGUGUCGAGUGAUACUGUUUGUUUCUUUAUGGUAAAUGGAUGUCACAAUGUGCACAUAAUUAUACAUAUAUUAAUUCUCAAUAUGUGCAUAAUUGUAUAUAUAUUGAUUCUUACUGUGUAGAUAGUUGUACACCCGUUUUUUAUGGUGCACAUAAUUGUACAUUUAUUGAUCGUUAAGAUUAUGUGUGGCUUGGGGUACUGAACACCUGGUUCCUAGUUAAGAUUUUGUGUGUCUUGGGAUAAUGAAAAUAUUUUUUAAUAUAUAAAUUGAGCUAUAACAGAGAUUCGCCAUGUUCAGAGGUAGAAAAUGAGAAACCGAGAGAAAAGAGGUUAAGGUUUAUGAGUUAGCUGGAGGGUGCUUUAUAACCAACUGUUACUCAAAAGGGACAAAAAAGAAAGAAAAUGAAAAGAGAUUAAAAACGAGUUAAGAAAAAACAUUUUGAAAGGAUUAGUUAUAGUCUGAGUAGCAAAGAAAAGGAAUGGUAUUUAUGGAAUCAGAUGGUCCACUAACAAAUUAGAUUUUCUUCGUGGACAUUUAAUUAGUGUUAAAUACUUAGCAAAGAAAAGAAAUGAUAUUUAUGGAAUCAGAUAGUCCACUAACAAGGUCUCCUUGGUGUUUACCGUUUCAUCCGUUAUACUGAAUAGUCUUGAGCACUAAUGAUUGAGGAAAAUAAGAUAAGCUACUGGCCUACAAAUUUUGUGCUUGCGCUAUCCAGGGUAUGUUCUUCUAUCUAUCCAUGACUAAUUUGUAUUUUUUUGUUGGGAUACCAAUACCAAGUAGACCUUGCACUUCAGCUACCUUAGGAUCCAAUUUGUUUAUGCUUACAGUAGAAUUUUGUUUAUGUUGUCAGUAUUUGUUUAGCAGUAAUUAGGUCCUUAGUUAUAUCAUUGCGUAUAAGUACUCUUCCGUCAUAAAUAUUCGUUCAAUCUUUCAGUCAAUAUAGUUAAUUAAGCUCGCUUAUGGGUAGUCUUGGAGGUGUUUUUCUUUGAAAAUUUGAUGCGUCUUCCAGUUAAAUCGUUAUUGCUAUAAAAGUAUGUAUGCGUACAUAGUUGUACACAUGUUGAUUACUAAUGUGUACACAGUUGUACACGUUGGUUAUUAAUGUGUACAUAGUUGUACACAUACAUAAUUUUUUCUAAAGCUGCGCAUAGUUCUGCAUUUUUUUUGUUUUCUGUUUAUAUUUUUUCUUUAGAGAAACUCAUUGAUGUAAAUAUAGUCCGGGUCCAACUUAAUGUGCACAUAGUUGUACAUAUACUGAUUAUAUUAUCUUAACAAGAAAGUAAGUUGCAUCUCUAAUCAUAUGUCUUGAUCCUACUUCGAUGCGAACCUUCUACUGUUGGAGUUUGAGUAGAGAAGUGAGCUUGCUUUCCCAAAUAACAAGACUAUGCUAAUAUUGAAGCGUCAUUUGUUAGUUAUAUAACCCAAGAAUGUAAUACGGAAGUUGGUUGCCAUUACAUUCCUGAAUAUGCAAUUGUACAGCAUAGGCAUGUGAAUCAUUCAGUUCCUUAUGUGUGUUGUUGUAUUGAUCGGAAUGCAGACAUCAAGACCAAAAUACAAUCAAAUCCUUGUGAAGAUGCCUGGGGUUGUGACUUAUAGGGAAAUCAGAUGCUCUAGCAAUUGCAGUUGCCAAUCCUACUGAAUCUUUUGAAAGUCCAACUUCAAUCAGAAGGAAAAUUGUCACUUGUGUACAUAGUUGUACACAAGUGAAGAUGGUGUUACUGAGAUUUCAAUGGUGUUAGAACUGUUGAUUUUAUGAAUAUGAGAUGGAGACAGUACUUACUUUGUGUGAUUUAGAGUCUACAGUGACUAAGAUGAUAACGAAAUGAAGAAGUGAUGUGUAUUGUUGCUGGCUGAGCACUUACAGGGUAUGGAUGAGCUGCAGCUGGAUAUGAAGCAAUUGCAGGUGAUGCUAUGGGAAAUUUGGAAGAAUGGGUUUGCUUCUAUUUUGCAGUACAAGGAAUGGUGCAUCUAAGUAAUUGGUGCUAUUGAGAUGGUAGAACUCUAAAGUGGUGAUCAGGUGAAUAAAUAUCAAAUGCCGAUGGAAUAGCAAAGAUGAAAUCUGAAAUGUGUGAUGUUGGUGGUACUGAGGAGCAGAAUUUAUGUUGUUGUUGGAUGGGUAGUGUUGCUGCAGAAAAGUGCAACUAAGAUUGGAAAGCUACAGAAACGGAUAAAAAAUUUGAGUUGAAUGGUUGAGGUGUUGUAGUUGUUUGCAGCAGAAGGGUAAAGAGUGGUUGAGCGUUGGAGCUGGUGUUGGUAAUGAGUUUCCGUUGUAAACAUGUUGUAUUUUGUAGAUGUGUACAUGUUUGUAUGCCAAUGUAAACUAAAUUUUUUUAAAAAUGAGAACUAUAUAGUCAUAUGGGUA